rnacentral:rRNA from 1 species
UACGAAGGGGGCUAGCGUUGUUCGGAUUUACUGGGCGUAAAGCGCACGUAGGCGGAUUGUUAAGUCAGGGGUGAAAUCCUGGAGCUCAACUCCAGAACUGCCUUUGAUACUGGCAAUCUAGAGUCCGGAAGAGGUGAGUGGAACUCCUAGUGUAGAGGUGGAAUUCGUAGAUAUUAGGAAGAACACCAGUGGCGAAGGCGGCUCACUGGGCCGGGACUGACGCUGAGGUGCGAAAGCGUGGGGAGCAAACAGG